CCUUUGAAGGCGGGCAACCUCAUCAGUCACCAUCCUGAGCUUCCCCCUAUAGUCGUCCACCUACUUGCACCAGCCAGCUCGGUAUGCGUUAUAGCUCGCCUCGGCAUCCUGGAGCUGUUGCUGAAGGUCAGAGAGUUUCUUCGAAUAUUUUCGAUCACAGUCGGGCCGAGUCGAAAGCUGGGAUGAGCUUCCUUCCAACUGGCUAAUCCUCUCCUGCGCAGCCGACAGCUCCACUCUGAGAGAGCUGAUCUUGGCAGCUUGGGCCCAAGAUCGAUCACUGGCGUGCUUCUUAUGUUCCUCGAGCUCCUUCUCGAAGUUCACUUUCCUCUGGCUGUACUCCAUGAUCCCCUUCACGUGGAGGUUCCGAAAGUAGGUGGCCUCCGCGGUGGCCUCAAAGUGACUCUCUCUCAACCUGUGAAGUUCACCAUCC
rnacentral:lncRNA from 1 species